UUUCUCAUCUCUCCCUCUGCCAAGCCUUCUAGGACCCCAGGACCCAGCAUUUCAAGAACAAAGGUGAAGGACCUUUCCAUCGUGGAGACCCUAACUCGGAAGAACCCAGGAAUUACAGCUUUGGUCUUUCAUAUUCUCUUGGCUUUGUCUAGGGUGUCUUUUCUUGAUCAUUCCCAGACUGCUUCAAGUCUCUAAAGUCCCUUCUUGGGGACCCAGUCAGGCACAGGCCUUGGAGUCUCCAACAGGCUCCAGUCAAAGCUUUGCCCUCUCAACCAGGAUCCCCCACUAGUGAGGGGCUGUAUCUUUAACAUCUGUGUUCCAUUCUAGCAUGCAGGCACACAGCAUUUCUCAGAGGAUGCUGCCAUUGUGUGGUUACCAUGACUCCCAAGUUUCUUUAAAUAAAGCCUGUAUCCAUCCUAGGGUUUUGUUAUCCACCUCUGAGUGAGCAUGGUACCCUCUGUGGCUCAAACUUGGGCUAUCUAACCCUUUAUCACUCCCAUCUUGUUUUUCAGUUUUCCCUCUUAAGCCUCCUCUCCACUUUUGGACCAGCCAAACUCUCAGCUACUCCUCUAGCACCAUGUCUAACACCAUGCCUGUGUGCUGCCAUGCUCCCUGCCGUGAUGAAAAUGGACUAAACUUAUGAAACUGAGAGCUCAAUCGAUGUUGUGGAGGAGAGAGAGAAUUCUCUGGGCAAGUGGUCCUGGGAUGCUCAAGAAAGCUGGCUGAGCAUAAGCCACCGACUGAGCCAGCGAACACUCUUCCUCCUCGGAUUCUACCGGGUUGGCACACAGCUACUACAGAUCCUCAAGCUGGAGCUCACUGUGGCCUAAGCCUGCUUUCUGCCUCUGAGUAGGAGGGGCUUUGUCCUGUCUCUUACUUGAAGAGGAGGGAAGAGUCCAGGCAGGUCUGGGCCAUGACAGAGACUGUGCUCAGAAAUGGCCACAAAGACGGUUGGGAGCUUAACUAGUUGCAUGAGGCUCUGUGCUUUGUCCCAGCUCUGGAGCGGUGAAGGCAUCACAAAGAAUCCUGCAAUACCAUGAUGCCCACCUAUUCCAGGAAGAAUCUGCACGGGACAGAGUCCUCCUGGAAAUUUGUGAGCAACUUAGUUGAUUUUUCUGAGCAAUCCAGUAAGCCACACGCCGGGAGGAUAAUGUGAACGGUGUCACCAUUUGGCGUCUUUGAGUUAUAAGAUCACAGGUGUGCUUCUUUGGCCUUUAAAGAAAUUAAAUUCUGUGUGCUAUUCAA